rnacentral:rRNA from 1 species
UCCANGAGGCAGCAGGCGCGUAAAUUACCCAAUGUGGACUCCACGAGGUAGUGACGAGAAAUAUCAAUGCGGGGCGCUUCGCGUCUUGCUAUUGGAAUGAGAGCAAUGUAAAACCCUCAUCGAGGAUCAACUGGAGGGCAAGUCUGGUGCCAGCAGCCGCGGUAAUUCCAGCUCCAGAAGCGUAUGCUAAAGUUGUUGCAGUUAAAAAGCUCGUAGUUGAAUUUCUGGUGUGGGAGCCCAGGCCUCGGUGCGAAUGCGCCUUGUCUUGCCUUGCGGCUCCUUUGCCAUCCUCGUUUUUCUUUUGAAGGACGUCAUUCACUGUAAUCAAAGCAGAGUGUUCCAAGCAGGCCGUAGGGCCGGUAUGUUUAUUAUGGGAUGAUCAGAUAGGACUCGGGUGCUAUUUUGUUGGUUUGCACAUCUGAGUAAUGAUUAAUAGGAACAGUCGGGGGUAUCCGUAUUUAGGAGCUAGAGGUGAAAUUCUUGGAUUUCCGAAAGACGAACUACAGCGAAGGCAUUUACCAAGCAUGUUUUCAUUAAUCAAGAACGAAAGUCUGGGGAUCGAAGAUGANAACCCCCUACUCAU